UUUCCUCUGUGAAUUUUUCUAUCCCAUGACCUCUGAGGUAGCUCACGUGUUUGUGUGCUUGGAGGUUACUAUUGCAUCAAAUGCUUUCCCGCAUGACACCAUCCCACUACCAACUGCUCCCAUUAGCCUUCCAACUCACCUCCGUUAUCUGCAAGACUAUCUGCCCACUUCGGCAGUCACACAUCUGCUAGCUGAUCUCCUGAAAAUGCAGUUUGACCACGUUCAUUCCAAAACUACAGGACAUCCACCACGUGCCAGCCUGCACUCCCCAUUGGGAUUCAGUACCUGGAUCAGUUUCUUCACUGCUCAGGCUGCCCUGGAGCCAGCAUCUGAAAAGGAAGAUGGGAAGGUCAACUCUGAUCUGGAAAUGAGAACAGCCAACACAUCGGAAAGAAGGGCAAAAAGCCAAGCAGAAAGCGAGCAGGAGCCGAGAGAACACCCUUGGACAGCGGGAUACGGUCCCGGGCACUGGCACCCCGAGAUUCUAAAGAUGGAUUCAUUGUCUCUUGAUUACUUUUUCUUUUUUAUCACAGAGUGAGGGGAGGGACAAAUAAAAGACUGGCAAAGUUACCAAGACCAGAAAAGAGCCGAUGCUUUAUCUUGAUUUUAACAGAGAGGAAAAAAGAAAAGUCUGCAACCAGCAUGCUAAUUUCAUUUUUGGUGGAGAAAGUACUAGUUUAAUGUUUCUGCUUCCAACUCAAUGGUGAAUAUACCUAAUCUGUAAAAGCAUUUGACACUGUUUAUUGAAUGCCUGCUCUGUGUCCAGCCCUCAUGUCGGGUAGAGCCUUCAAGUUACAGAUGGGAAUUCUGGGAGGAAGAGAAGCCUGCUGGAGAUAAGCCAGUUAACAAGAGCUGAACCGGAUUCGAAUCCAGCCCUGAUGACUCUUGCUUUUGUCAGGGACUUUUAACUAAUUAAAAUAACAUCAAAUUCACUUAAAAUCAAGAAGCAAGUUGACACUUUUUUUUUUUAAGUUUCAGAGCUAAUAGCUUAGUUUAAAAUACAUCCUGCCCUAUGGUGACAGCCCCAGGAAGACAUCUCAAUGAAUCACCAUGUUAUAUUUUUAAAAUGUGAUACAGACUAUGUUAUCUUGCAGUUCAAAAUAAGGGUAGAAUUCCUGCCUCUGCCAUUUACUAGCUGGUGACCUUGGGCAAAUUACACAACCUCUCUGAGCUUCAGCUAUAUCAUAUGAUAAAUAGGGAUAAUAUUUGUUCUCAAGUCAAAAUUGUUAAGAUUAAAUGAGAUAAUUAACAUAUACAAAGUGCUUAACACAGUGGCAGAUAAUGUGCUCAAUAAAUGUUAGCUAUUACCUAUAUGAUUAUUAAUAUAAUGUUAAUGUUGAAUAAAUGGGUAUAAUCUUUGCCAACUAGUUGAUUGAUAUUAAGAUACCCUCACAUGCAACUCUGAAGAUGUUGCUAUGAAAUGUACUUUUUAAAAAAUAAAUACAAUAUUUAAUGACGAGUACCUGAUCCUGUACUAUUUAGAUAUUUAGAUUUCAAGUUGUGGAAAUAAUUCAAUAGCGUUUAAUGUGAAUGACUUUCCAACUAUCACAUUAUUAUUCAUUCCUAGAAACUUAUUUUUUACUGCAAAUAAGACUUCUCUUACUAUAAGCCCUCCACCCCGUUAUAGCCCCUUUCUCUCCCCAUCCAACUCCUAUUUGCAUCUCUUUCUCUGUUCUCUAUCUUUGAAGAUGCCAACAACAAUCAAAGAACUGGAAACUAUUCUAGACGUCUCCUCUUUCUUCCCACUGAUAUUUAACAUUGCCAUUUGUAUAGCCGUGGUCUUAGCUGUGGCUUUGGGCCCUUGUCACUUUUCACGCAGACCACCACUCCCCAUGCCAAACUAUCUCAGUCCAUUCUCUGCAGGUGAUCAAAAGGGAUCAUUCUAAAAGGCAAAUCUGGUCCUGCCACAUCUCUACUGAGUCCUCCCAAUGCUCUCUUGUUUUAAAGAUAAAAUCUAAGUACCUUGUAUAAUACAAAAGACUCUUCAUGAUUGUACUUCUGGUUACACCCCUGGACCUCAUCUUCUGCCACAGAGUGAUUUAAAAUUUCUUCCACUCUCUCUACUGUCUUCUGCUCUGCUUCUUCAGCCAUAUUUACCCACCUCAAUUGUCCCACUAUAGCUAAUCCUUCAAAACGCAAGCUUGUAGAUCACCUCCUCCAGCUAGGCUUUCUCAGUUUCCCGUGUAAGGGUUAGGUGCACAUCCUAACACCUUAUAUAUCUUCUCAUUCCAUUGCCUCACGUGUCCCCCUAUUAUUCUAUAUAUGACAACUAUUUAAAGUUAUAUCAAAGUAUACCACUCUCCUGCUUAAAAUCUUCCAGUAGUUUCCCAUUCCAAACAGAGUAACUGACGGAGUCCAUCCUGUGGCCUCCAAAGCCCCAGGUGAACUGGUAACAGCCUAGCUCUCUGCCCCUCUCUCAAAGCCUGGGAUCACUGUGUUUCAGCCCAUGGUCCCCACACACCUCUCACCAAUGCUCCCAGCUCACCUCUAUUUGCCUUCAGGACAUUUGCCAUCCUCUGCCUUGAACAUUGGCUGACACCUUCUCACCAUUUGAAUCAUCAUGUAACUGUCCCCUUUUCAGCUCUCUGGCGUUGCUUGCCAUUCCCAUUCACUUUCUUUUUCAUGGCACUUAUCACUACCUAGUCGUAUCGUUUAUUCAUGUUUUCUUAUAUGUUUUAUUCUUGGUCUCCUUACUAGAUUAUAAGCUUCAUGUCUUUCUUGUUCGCUACUGUCUAUCAGUGUCCAGAAAAGUGUUAAAUAUAUAGAAGUUCAUCUAAUUCACUAUUUUAUCCCCAGUUUAAUAAUCACUUAUUGAAAUCAAUUGUGAUUCCUAACUAUGUCAAAUCUAUUCAUUACUUGUUGAUGGAACAUUUCCACUAUAACUAUGGAAGAUUUGCAAACGAUGAAAAUACCACCUGUAUAUAGACAUUUAAUCAAUGAGGUCAAAGAAUUUGCCGAAUUAAGAUCAUUGAAUUUUAAGAUCAAAAGCUGAAAUGCAGAUGUAAAUAUUUGUGGCAGAAUUCUAGCUAUUCCCCCAAAUCUGUCCUUCCAUUGAACACUUGUAGCUAGAAAGCAGCUGCCUAGCCAGGGCCCUUAAUUCUCAGGACCCCUGCAAGGGAGCCUUGGUUAUGUGACUUAUUUCUGGCCAGUGGAAGGUGAGCAGAGCCUGCAUACUACCUCUUGGCCACAGUGUAUAAAAAUUAGGCUUGUCUCCCACACUCUCUUUCUCCUGCCUCCAGGAGGAAGCAGACAAUGUUGAGCACCCAAGUGAUGGCAGAGGCCCAGAAGAAGGCAGAGGAGAGCGCCUCAGUGGCCCCUGCUCUGCGAGAGAGGGUGCGUUAGCUCAUUGUAUUGGAGUCGUUAUCCAUUUUUCAUCCAUUCGUUCCAGCACUUUGGCCUACUUACCCUAACUAAUACCACAUUCAAUAUGCUAAUUUUCCCCAGCUUUUCCAAUAUUUCUCGAGGAAUUCUAAAUUUUCAGUUGAUCAGCUUAGGCUUACGCAGUGCAUGUUUAUUAUUCUUUCUAUAUAUGUUCAUGACAGAGGGCCACUUUAUAAACCUUUAUGAACGUUUCCUUAAUCUGAAAGUAGAAGGUCAUGUCAGGUAAAGAGAAAAAACAAUUAUGAAUGGCAG
ensembl:lncRNA